rnacentral:misc_RNA from 1 species
UCCUUCUUAUCGAAGGCAGUUUCUCAAGAGUGCAUCCCUUACGGGAUUAGCAACAUCGAGUAGGGGUUGCGCUCGUUGCGGGACUUAACCCAACAUCUCACGACACGAGCUGACGACAACCAUGCAGCACCUCUGCAGACUCCCUUGCGGGUCAGCCCCUGUUUCUAGGGACUUACCAUCUGUAGUUCAAGCCCGGGUAAGGUUCUUCGCGUUGCGUCGAAUUAAACCACAUGUUCCACCGCUUGUGCGGGCCCCCGUCAAUUCCUUUGAGUUUCAGUCUUGCGACCGUACUCCCCAGGCGGAAUGCUUAAAGCGUUAGCGACGGCACCCGGGGACUUUAUAACCCCAGACACCAAGCAUUCAUCGUUUAAGGCUAGGACUA